rnacentral:rRNA from 1 species
GACGAACGCUGGCGGCGUGCUUAACACAUGCAAGUCGAACGGAAAGGCCCUGCUUUUGUGGGGUGCUCGAGUGGCGAACGGGUGAGUAACACGUGAGUAACCUGCCCUUGACUUUGGGAUAACUUCAGGAAACUGGGGCUAAUACCGGAUAGGAGCUCCUGCUGCAUGGUGGGGGUUGGAAAGUUUCGGCGGUUGGGGAUGGACUCGCGGCUUAUCAGCUUGUUGGUGGGGUAGUGGCUUACCAAGGCUUUGACGGGUAGCCGGCCUGAGAGGGUGACCGGCCACAUUGGGACUGAGAUACGGCCCAGACUCCUACGGGAGGCAGCAGUGGGGAAUAUUGCACAAUGGGCGGAAGCCUGAUGCAGCAACGCCGCGUGCGGGAUGACGGCCUUCGGGUUGUAAACCGCUUUCCCCCGUGACGAAGCGUGAGUGACGGUAAUGGGUAAAGAAGCACCGGCUAACUACGUG